rnacentral:rRNA from 1 species
UUCAUUACAGAGUUCCUGCCUCACGGGUAGAAACCCCCCACCCUUGUGUAUUAUAUAUUGUUGCUUUGGCGGGCCGCCCUCGCGGGCAACCGGCUCACGCUGGCUCGCGCCCGCCGAAGGACCCCAAACCCUGAAGUGUAGUGUCGUCUGAGUACUAUUUAAUAGUUUAAAACUUUCAACAACGGAUCUCUUGGUUCUGGCAUCGAUGAAGAACGCAGCGAAAUGCGAUAAGUAAUGUGAAUUGCAGAAUUCAGUGAAUCAUCGAAUCUUUGAACGCACAUUGCGCCCCUUGGUAUUCCGAGGGGCAUGCCUGUUCGAGCGUCAUUUUGACCACUCCCGCUUGCGGGGUCUUGGGCUUCGCCUCUGGGCGAGCCUUGAAAUCAGUGGCGGUGCCGUCCGGCUCUAAGCGUAGUAAAUCUCCUCGCUAUAGACGUUCCGGAGGGAUGCUGGCCAACAACCCCC